CGUCAUUCAAACAGAGGGGCGUGGCUUAAACAACCCGCUGGCUGUUGAGCUUCAGGACGUUUAAGUUCGACUCAGUUAGGAAAUGUGACGCAGCGGACUCGGGGUCAAAGGUCACCUGUCUUUGCAGAGAGGCCGGCAGCAGUAGCCUAGUGUUCCUGUCCCUCUGCCCCGGGUUUUCAGCAACAAACAACGCCAUCAUCAUCCCUGAUGAGAGGACCGUGGAAGAUGAACCCCAGGAGACACUGAAUGGAUGCUUCUACUGACACUGUUACACAUGUUCAGUGCUGUCAGUGACAUUGAGAUGGAAGAUGAACCCCAGGAGACACUGAAUGGAUGCUUCUACUGACACUGUUACACAUGUUCAGUGCUGUCAGUGACAUUGAGAUGGAAGAUGAACCCCAGGAGACACUGAAUGGAUGCUUCUACUGACACUGUUACACAUGUUCAGUGCUGUCAGUGACAUUGAGAUGGAAGAUGAACCCCAGGAGACACUGAAUGGAUGCUUCUACUGACACUGUUACACAUGUUCAGUGCUGUCAGUGACAUUGAGAUGGAAGAUGAACCCCAGGAGACACUGAGUGGAUGCUUCUACUGACACUGUUACACAUGUUCAGUGCUGUCAGUGACAUUGAGAUGGAAGAUGAACCCCAGGAGACACUGAAUGGAUGCUUCUACUGACACUGUUACACAUGUUCAGUGCUGUCAGUGACAUUGAGAUGGAAGAUGAACCCCAGGAGACACUGAGUGGAUGCUUCUACUGACACUGUUACACAUGUUCAGUGCUGUCAGUGACAUUGAGAUGGAAGAUGAACCCCAGGAGACACUGAGUGGAUGCUUCUACUGACACUGUUACACAUGUUCAGUGCUGUCAGUGACAUUGAGAUGGAAGAUGAACCCCAGGAGACACUGAGUGGAUGCUUCUACUGACACUGUUACACAUGUUCAGUGCUGUCAGUGACAUUGAGAUGGAAGAUGAACCCCAGGAGACACUGAGUGGAUGCUUCUACUGACACUGUUACACAUGUUCAGUGCUGUCAGUGACAUUGAGAUGGAAGAUGAACCCCAGGAGACACUGAGUGGAUGCUUCUACUGACACUGUUACACAUGUUCAGUGCUGUCAGUGACAUUGAGAUGGAAGAUGAACCCCAGGAGACACUGAGUGGAUGCUUCUACUGACACUGUUACACAUGUUCAGUGCUGUCAGUGACAUUGAGAUGGAAGAUGAACCCCAGGAGACACUGAGUGGAUGCUUCUACUGACACUGUUACACAUGUUCAGUGCUGUCAGUGACAUUGAGAUGGAAGAUGAACCCCAGGAGACACUGAGUGGAUGCUUCUACUGACACUGUUACACAUGUUCAGUGCUGUCAGUGACAUUGAGAUGGAAGAUGAACCCCAGGAGACACUGAGUGGAUGCUUCUACUGACACUGUUACACAUGUUCAGUGCUGUCAGUGACAUUGAGAUGGAAGAUGAACCCCAGGAGACACUGAAUGGAUGCUUCUACUGACACUGUUACACAUGUUCAGUGCUGUCAGUGACAUUGAGAUGGAAGAUGAACCCCAGGAGACACUGAGUGGAUGCUUCUACUGACACCGUCACACGGAGGGUUGUGUCAUCUGGACGGAGCGAAGCAUCAGAUUGAAAUGAGUCUUGAAUGUCUGAUGAAGACGAGGAUAAGUGACGUCCUUCACCUCCUUUGUCUUCCUCUGAUUCUCUCUUACGGGACUUUAUUGUCUCCACUGUUUCCUGCAGACACAAAUCACUUUAAUCAUUUCCCUAAAUAAGCAGCAGAACGCACGAUGAGGAUUGAUUGCCAGAAUAUUUUUGAAAAAGCACAACAAGCGCCAGGCGGCCGAAGUUCCAGCCGAUCAAACUCGUAUUAAGAAAGCGUCGGCGGCGCUCCGGCUGACGGCCUCCAUCGUAGAUGAUGUCGCCAUCUGUGAGCUCACGAGCGUAUGAAGAAGAGCAUCUCUAUCACUCUCCACUGGGCAUUCAUAUGCAACACCACCACGUGGCUAUCAUAUCUUAGAAUGCACAGAGAAAUUGAAUUAUUAAGUUUCAGUUCAGAUCAAAUAUGACAUAUAAUAAUCAACAUUAACAUGAAUUAAUUUAACAUUCACAACAUGAAGAGGAAAUGAGCAGCAGAAGAUAUAAAUUAUUGAUAUUGAAGAACUGGAUCUCGUGUUAAAAGACGCUUCAAUAUUCAAUAAUAAAAUAUAAAUAUAAUAUAAUUAUAUGUAGGCUCCUCUAGAUUUAUGUUAGCGGAUGGAAUGGAUACACCCGUGUUUUUAAGCUAAGCUAACCACCAAUAUAUAGUAAAUAUAAAAUAAAUACAAUAAAAUAUGAAAGUAAAUAAGUAAAAGUACACAGAGAACAAACACACAAGUAGAAGCAUUUCUGUUUAAGCAAAACAUGUAUGUUGCUUGUGGAAAAUAUGAAAUAUAAAGAUUAAUAAGCUACAAUAAAAAUACAAAAAUAAAUACAAAAAUGCAAAAAAUACAAUAAAAUAAAAAAAAACUAUAUGAAGAAAUAGCUCAAAAUAAAUGAAAACAUGUCAUUUAAUAGAUGUAUUUAUUAGCAUGGUGCAUGUUUGAUGUGAGAUCUUCUCACCACGCUGAUUGGAUUCCAGUUUCAUUUUUGGCAAAGUCCGGCGACGUCAUCCAUCACGCGCUCCGAUCGGCGUCUCCGGGGCGGCGGAGUUCAACCGGAGCAAAAAGCACCGCUGGCUUCCCGCGUCUCCAAUUUCAUUCUGAGCAGCAGAGAAGCUCAGCGGAGCGUGCACGCACGUGGAGAACGUGCACGCUCGUGGAGAGCGAAAUAAAUACUUUUUAAUUCCUGCUCCGAGCCCGGCUCCGGGCCCCCGGCCCCGCUGAUGGAUGACGUUUUAAUGCGGCUGAAUGUUAUUUUUACCGAACAGGGAAAACUAUAAAUUUGUACUUCAUUGGCAAUGAUUGCGGCGCGUGCACGCCGGCGCGUCGCCGCAUGAAUAAUCGCCCCUCGCAGCAGAUGUUAUUUUGCAGAAACCAAUUCCUCGGAUAAGAUUUGCAGAAGAUUAAUUGUCUACAGCUGUUUCAUGGCCCGCUGCAGUCUUAAUACAUUUAUGAUGGUUUAAAAGGGAGCUUUAUUCCUGCAUCUGGAUUCAUAUUGCGGUCAUCAGCGGCGCGCGCCGGCCGUCAUUAGCGCCCCGCGCUUCCUUUAUGCGCUCUUCACGCCCAUAUUUCCAUCUCCCCUUCUUGAGUGACUGAAUUAUUCAGAUUUGUGCAAAUGAGUUGUUUUCAUUUUUCUCCCAUGGAAGUGGAAAUUGGAAGUGACCCGGCGUGACCCCCCAUCUAUUACUGCAGGCGGCUCAUUGUUAAGCGGCGGGCCGCGACCCGGCGGCGGUCCCGGUGUUACGACCCGCGCCGCUCGCUUUCAUAAAGACAUUUAAAUAUUCUACGCCGAACAAAAGCAAUCAUGUCGGGCGCGCGGCCCGAGGUCAGAGGUCAGGGGUCGGGCUACGAGGGACUCCUCGAGGAGCCGAAAGCCCGAACCCGACGCAGAGGACACGGAGGCCCGAGGUUUCCAUUUAACCCUGGGAAGCUCCUCCUCUUCUCCUCCUCCUCCUCCUGUUCUCCUGUUCUCCUCUCCUCCUCUUCUUCUUCUCCUCCUCCUCCUCUUCUGCAUAAAGCCUGUUAAUAACCACUGAAAAUAGGCUUGUCGAUAUCCUCAGGUCGUGACUCGUAACAAGCACGACAAGUUUGGGCCAGAUUUGAGCAAGUCCAGUUGAGCCACUAGGUGGCGCAAUGAGAAUGUGAACAUAUACAUGCAUCAUGUGUCUCUACUGAAGUGUAGACCACGUUGUGUAAAUUAAAUGUAAAAAGAAGUGAUCAGCGGAUGAGCACACGGGUCACGGGGUGAACUCUUAUCAUGUUGAGCUACCAAUCAGGUAAAAUAGCUGAUGUUUGUACCGCCAGGUUUUGGGGUUAAAACUCACCAUUGUCAUCACUAUUCAUCUUUAAGGCCUUCAGAUCAUCGGAUAAGUUUUGAGGGAGGAACCCGUAAAUGUAUAAUGACGAAAAGUGACAAAAACAAGCGAAAAACGCCCAAAACGCACAAACUGGGCGAAUCAUUGUAGCGCCCCCUAGUGUUCAAAUCACACACAUUUUGUGGAUGUUACAGGAUGCAAUGUGAUUUGUCCCAAUAGUGUUGAAGUUAUGAGCAUUGAAAAACAAGACACGCCCCCAAGAGGUUCAUUGGUCGAUAUGUCCUUAACACAAUGAGAUACCAAAAGGAUUGAUAUGUAUGUAGGUGAUAUAGCUUCAGUUAUGACCGACAGAAAAGUUUGUAUAAAUCGGAACCAGCGUGUAGGAGAAAUGGCCAAUUAUAAGUUUUUCACAGAAUUCAAAAUGGCGGAAAAUCUAAGUAGGCGGAGCUUCGGGGUCUGAGAGGCGGGUGGAGAUGGACAUGUGUUCUGGGUGAGGGGCGUCGCCGGUCAAACUUUGAGGGGGCGCUAGAGAGCAAUUUUUUAAAACCCAAAUUUGACGUCUAUAUCAUACGUCUAUUUUCACCGAGCCUGACAAGCUUGCCAAAUUUGGUGAGUUUGGGGGUCCGGUAAGUACCCCAAUAUGAAAAAUAAGAAUCAGAAUAGGAGGAAUAAUAAUAACCCUAUAAACACAUUAGGGACCCUCAUGAAUCAAAUAUUAAAACAAAGCACAGUGAAAUACUGAA